AUUGAACGCUGGCGGCAGGCCUAACACAUGCAAGUCGAACGAGUGGCGGACGGGUGGGUAAUGUCUGGGAAACUGGCUGACGGAGGGGGAUAACUGGUGGAAACGGUCGCUAAAACCGCAUACAAUCCGAUGUGGCCAGAUUGGAUUAGGGUGUUGGUGGGCUAACGGCUCACCAAGGCGACGAUCCCUAGCUGGCCUGAGAGGGUGACCGGCCACACUGGAACGGAGCCACGGCCCAGACUCCUACGGGAGGCAGCAGUGGGGAAUAUUGCACAAUGGGCGAAAGCCUGAUCCAGCCACGCCGCGUGUAUGAAGAAGGCCUUCGGGUUGUAAAGCACUUUUGGCGGGGAAGCGUUACCUGCAGAAGAAGCACCGGCUAACUCCGUGCCAGCAGCCGCGGUAAUAC
rnacentral:rRNA from 1 species